rnacentral:rRNA from 1 species
GGGCACUUCGGUGUGAGUAGAGCGGCGGACGGGUGAGUAACGCGUAGGAAUCUACCCAGUAGUGGGGGACAACUUGGGGAAACUCAAGCUAAUACCGCAUACGCCCUAUGGGGGAAAGCGGGGGAUCUUCGGACCUCGCGCUAUUGGAAGAGCCUGCGUUGGAUCAGCUAGUUGGUGGGGUAAAGGCCUACCAAGGCGACGAUCCAUAGCUGGUCUGAGAGGAUGAUCAGCCACACCGGGACUGAGACACGGCCCGGACUCCUACGGGAGGCAGCAGUGGGGAAUAUUGCGCAAUGGGGGCAACCCUGACGCAGCCAUGCCGCGUGUGUGAAGAAGGCCUUCGGGUUGUAAAGCACUUUCACUUGGGAAGAAAAGCUCGUCGUUAAUACCGGCGAGCCGUGACAUUACCUUGAGAAGAAGCACCGGCUAACUCCGUGCCAGCAGCCGCGGUAUACGGAGGGUGCGAGCGUUAAUCGGAAUUACUGGGCGUAAAGCGCGCGUAGGCGGUUUGUUAAGUCGGAUGUGAAAGCCCCGGGCUCAACCUGGGAAUUGCACCCGAUACUGGCCGACUGGAGUGCGAGAGAGGGAGGUAGAAUUCCACGUGUAGCGGUGAAAUGCGUAGAUAUGUGGAGGAAUACCGGUGGCGAAGG